rnacentral:rRNA from 1 species
AACUUUCAACAACGGAUCUCUUGGCUCUCGCAUCGAUGAAGAACGCAGCGAAAUGCGAUACGUAAUGUGAAUUGCAGAAUUCAGUGAAUCAUCGAAUCUUUGAACGCACAUUGCACUCUCUGGUAUUCCGGAGAGUAUGCUUGUUUGAGUAUC